UCGAGCCGUAUGAAGGGAAACUCCCACGUACAGUUUGUUUUGGGGGGGAUGGAGCCCGACAGGGUCCCCCCACUGACUUGGCCCGGGCCUAAGUGAAAGUGCAAAAGUGAAGUGGUGGGCCUACCCAUCC
rfam:Triticum aestivum genome assembly, contig: Triticum_aestivum_CS42_TGACv1_scaffold_271987_3DS